AGUCACGCUGUAAACGAUGUCGAUUUGGAGGUUGUUCCCUUGAGGAGUGGCUUCCGGAGCUAACGCGUUAAAUCGACCGCCUGGGGAGUACGGCCGCAAGGUUAAAACUCAAAUGAAUUGACGGGGGCCCGCACAAGCGGUGGAGCAUGUGGUCUAAUUCGAUGCAACGCGAAGAACCUUACCUACUCUUGACAUCCAGAGAAUUUAGCAGAGAUGCUUUAGUGCCUUCGGGAACUCUGAGACAGGUGCUGCAUGGCUGUCGUCAGCUCGUGUUGUGAAAUGUUGGGUUAAGUCCCGCAACGAGCGCAACCCUUAUCCUUUGUUGCCAGCACAUUAUGGUGGGAACUCAAAGGAGACUGCCGGUGAUAAACCGGAGGAAGGUGGGGAUGACGUCAAGUCAUCAUGGCCCUUACGAGUAGGGCUACACACGUGCUACAAUGGCGUAUACAAAGAGAAGCGACCUCGCGAGAGCAAGCGGAACUCAUAAAGUACGUCGUAGUCCGGAUUGGAGUCUGCAACUCGACUCCAUGAAGUCGGAAUCGCUAGUAAUCGUAGAUCAGAAUGCUACGGUGAAUACGUUCCCGGGCCUUGUACACACCGCCCGUCACACCAUGGGAGUGGGUUGCAAAAGAAGUAGGUAGCUUAACCUUCGGGAGGGCGCUUACCACUUUGUGAUUCAUGACUGGGGUGAAGUCGUAACAAGGUAACCA
rnacentral:rRNA from 1 species